rnacentral:lncRNA from 1 species
AUCAUUUGCUUAUGGAAAUAAUGCAUUUAGAUGACAAGCAACGGAGUUGUGAUUCUGCUCUUUGUUAGAAUCCUGAAUAAGAGGAGGGUAGUAUGAACUGGUUUAUGAUUGGCAUCUCAAGUAUUCUUGCUUUGAUUGGAUCUCACAUGUGGCUCUCUUAAAAUAUGAACAGACCCAGUUGAUCUGUUUAAAACCGAUGGUGGAUCCUAAAUAUAGGACUGUAUUUAUGUAAGGCUUUGAAGUGAUGCCAGUUGUUAAAUCUCAUUAGGUUUUGCUUGUUGGUGGUUAAGAAUAAUAACUUAUGUCUCAUCGUCGUCACUACCAUGUAACGAAAAAGUUCUCUUGGUAUUGAGUUUUGAAUAAAAUUCC